rnacentral:rRNA from 1 species
GAUGAACGCUGGCGGCGUGCCUAAUACAUGCAAGUCGAGCGAACGGACGAGAAGCUUGCUUUUCUGAUGUUAGCGGCGGACGGGUGAGUAACACGUGGAUAACCUACCUAUAAGACUGGGAUAACUUCGGGAAACCGGAGCUAAUACCGGAUAAUAUUUUGAACCGCAUGGUUCAAAAGUGAAAGACGGUCUUGCUGUCACUUAUAGAUGGAUCCGCGCUGCAUUAGCUAGUUGGUAAGGUAACGGCUUACCAAGGCAACGAUGCAUAGCCGACCUGAGAGGGUGAUCGGCCACACUGGAACUGAGACACGGUCCAGACUCCUACGGGAGGCAACAGUAGGGAAUCUUCCGCAAUGGGCGAAAGCCUGACGGAGCAACGCCGCGUGAGUGAUGAAGGUCUUCGGAUCGUAAAACUCUGUUAUUAGGGAAGAACAUAUGUGUAAGUAACUGUGCACAUCUUGACGGUACCUAAUCAGAAAGCCACGGCUAACUACAUG